GUUUUAUUUAAAAAAACAACCGUCCGCCUGACAGCCUCCAUUUAAUGCAUUUGAACUACACACUCAGAGAGCUCACUCUUUGCUUUCUCUUCUCUUUCAGCUAAAAAUCUUCAUUUUUCUCUCAUAAAUCUCUGCAAAAUUCUUAAUUGCUUAUCUUUUCUUCUCUCUCCACUUCAGCGCAAACCCUAACCCCCAAAUAUUGGUUACAUUUGUUGGAGAGCAUCAGUGAAGGGAAGAGAGGAGGAAAGGAUCCUCAGGCCUUGCCUGGUCUCCCUCAUUGUUUACGUAUGGACAGAGUUCCUCACUCAUCUCAUUUUAUCCUCUCAUAGACAAAGCAAUAUCUUUUUCUCUAGCAAAUGGGGGUUGAGAAAGAGGGCUCAAAAAGCGGAGGAGGUUAUGUAGGUGGUUUCUUCCAGCUGUUUGACUGGACAGCAAAAUCUCGGAAGAAGUUGUUCUCAAGCAAAUCAGAUUUACCAGUGCCUUCAAAACAAGGAAAGAGGAGUGAUGGGAACUUGCCAAUGACUCGGCUUCAUCUGAUGGAUGAGGAUGAAACUGGAGCAGGGUCAAGUAUUAGAGGGAGCAGUGAUUAUAGUUGUGCUUCAUCAGUAACAGAUGAUGAUGGAUGUGGAGCUAGAGCCCCUGGAGUAGUAGCCAGGCUUAUGGGAUUAGAUUCUAUGCCAACAUCCAGUUUUUCUGAGCCCAACUCUACCCCAUUCUUGGAUACUCAAUCUCUUAGGGAGGCUUCUCAGCGGAGGAAACAUUUUGAAUAUUAUCAUGACCAUCAAAUCAUGUACUCUAGGAAUCUGCUCAAUAAGGAGGAUGGCCCUCUGCAGAACCUUCUAAACUCAAAGCCUCAGAAGGUGUUAAGUAGACCUAUUGAAAAGUUUCAAACUGAAAUUUUGCCUCCAAAAUCUGCUAAAUCAAUUCCAAUUACACAUCAUAAACUUUUAUCGCCUAUUAAGAGUCCUGGCUUCAUUCCAAGUAAAACUGCUGCUCACAUAAUGGAAGCAGCUGGAAGAAUUAUUGAACCUUGUCCACAAGCUACUGCUAAGGCCAAAAUUCCUAUGGUUGGAUCUCCUUCAGUUCCCUUGAAAGUUCGCGAUCUUAAAGAAAAACUGGUGGUUGCACAAAAAAUGCCACUGGUUGGGUCCUCAGCAGCAUCUCUGAAAGCUCGAAAUUUAAAAGAAAAAGUGGAAGCUCCUAAUAAAACACCCAGAUUUGCUGAACCUUCUACUAGAAGACCAGUUGAGUCAAAUGCUGCCAAGUAUCUUAAGGGACAGUCUUUGAACAAAAGCUGGAAUGGUUCAGUGGAUACAACAUCUUUCAGGGCUUUUCCCGAGAUAGAAGAAGGUUCUUCUGGUUUAAAAAAUAAGGGAAAGUCCAUCUCACUUGCAAUCCAAGCAAAGGUCAAUGUUCAGAAAAGAGAAAGUUUGAAUUCAAGUGGCAGUCGAGGCUUGGUAAGCGACAAAGACCAUAGUGAGGUUAUGUCUAGCCAGACCUUCAAAGGUCAACUGAAUAUGCAGAAGAGUUUGCUGAAAAAAUCUUACAUGCAUAAUGCUUCUGGAGUGCUCAGGCCGAACAAUCAGAAACAAAAUUGCCAUAUGGAAAAAGACAAGCCUUCAAAGUCAGCAGGUUCUCACUUGCAGGGAAGAAAGGCUGUGACUGGGAAUUCUUCUUCUUCUCUGCGGAACAAAACUUCCAUUAAAAAUGUUGGCUCCAAAACUGGAACCAGGAAGUUGGGCUCAGAUGUAAUAGAUAGUGAAAAGGGGCUUUCAAAUUAUAGUACAAAGAAUAUUCCUAGGAAGAAGCGAUCAAUUGAUGGGAACUUGCAUCUUGAGAAAAAUCACAUUGUUGAUAAUAUGUUAAUUGACAAGAAUCAGAAGGAAAUUGAAUCAAAUAGAGCCAUUGAUAGGCAUUUUAAUUGGGCAGAAGAAAGCAAGAAGAAAGGCAUGGAUGUUGUUUCAUUUACAUUUACAGCUCCUUUGAUGAGAUAUAUGCCAGGUUAUGAAACAUCUGGUCAAGUACAGAAAAGUGGCAGUGUUUGCAUGGAUGAUCAGGGCAAGAGGUUGUUGCUUGACACAGAUGGUACUAAAUUAUCUUCAGUGGGAUAUAAUCAAAUAGGAGGAGAUGCUUUGGGCACUCUUUUGGAAGAGAAGUUAAGAGAAUUAACUAACAGCGUGGAGUCUUCCGACCACAAUUCUGUCAAAAUAGGAUCCACUUUGAGUUCCCCAUCAUUUUUGAAAGAUCUGGCACCCACUCUUAAUGCAGGCAACACUACUCCAAGGUCAUUCGAUAACAAGGAUCAAAAUAUGCUGCUAGGAAGUAAAUCGGGUAGCAGCCGUGGCUCUAAUGUAUUCUCAACUGAUCCCACGGCACUCAGAUUGAAACACAGGUUUCAGGGUGUUGAUGAGAUGGAAGAGUGCAGCAGCAAAUCUAAUGAUUCCAGAAAGCUGCUUGAUUGUAGACGUCCUAGCCCAGUCUCUGUUCUUGAACCUUCCUUUUCAACUGAAAGUAGCAGCUCUUUAGACAGCACGGAUUGUAGCAGUGCUGAAGGAAGCAAGCAAUGUUCGUCUAUUCAAGCUCAGGAAAUUCUUGGUUUAAGUUCUUCAAAGAAGUUUCAUUCUGUUGAUGCUGAUAAAGAUUUAUCAGAUUCUGCUUCUUCAAAAUCUACUGGUACUGCAGCUGGAAAGCAUGCAAAUACAUUACCUGCAUCGGAACUAGUGAAUUCAGCCAAGUGGGAAAUAGAAUAUGUGCAGAAGAUACUCUUUAAUCUGGAAUUUAUGUUUCAGGAAUUUGCACUGGGUUGGGCUCGUGAGAUCGUAAGCCCACUUCUCUUCAACCGGCUGGAAAGUCAAAAGGGUGGACUGGUUAAUGGUGGUGUUGAGGCUAGGCUAGAGCGAAAGGUACUAUUUGACUGUGUGAAUGAAUGUUUGGACAUAAGAUGUAGGCAGUAUGUUGGUGGUGGAUAUAAAACAUGGACCAAAGGGGUGACAAUGGUGAGAAGAAAAGAGUGGCUAGCUGAAGAAGUGCUAAAGGAGAUCUCAGCAUGGAAAGGCAUGGGGGAUUGCAUGGUGGAUGAGCUUGUGGACAAG
rnacentral:misc_RNA from 1 species